GCUGGGCACGGUGGUGUGUGCCUGUAAUUCCAGCUACUUGGGAGGCUGAACUGGGAGGAUCACUUGAGCCCAGGAGUUCCAGGUUGCAGUGAGCCACAAUCGCACCACUACACUCCAGCCUGGGCGACAAAGCAAGACCCUGUUUCAU
rnacentral:SRP_RNA from 1 species